GGGUUCAAUAAAUGUCCC
rnacentral:misc_RNA from 1 species